GAUUAGAUACCCCACUAUGCUUUGCCCUAAACACAGAUAAUAGUAAUACAAUUUUAUCCGCCAGAGAACUACAAGCGAAAAGCUGGAAACUCCAAGGACUUGGCGGUGCUUCAAAUCAACCUAGAGGAGCCUGUCCUAUAAUCGAUACCCCACGUUUUACCUUACCGCUCUUGGCCAAUCAGCCUAUAUACCGCCGUCGAAAGCCUACCUUAUGAAAGAGACAAAGUAGGCAAAAUAGUUAACAACUAGCACGUCAGGUCAAGGUGUAGCAUAUGGGGCGGCAGAGAUGGGCUACAUUUUUAAAAAUAAUACACGAAUAACAUGUUGAAAUACAUGUUUGAAGGCGGAUUUAGUAGUAAAAUAAACAAGAAAAGUUAUUUUAAACCUGCUCUGAAGCGCGCACACACCGCCCGUCACC
rnacentral:rRNA from 1 species